rnacentral:lncRNA from 1 species
AGGUAAGAUCUUAUACGCUCGAUUCUAUGAUUCAUUGGCAGUUGUAGUACCUUUAGUAAGAAUCUAAAUGAUUAGACGAUAAAUACAACUUAUAAAAUUAGCAAAAACAAAAAAUCUACUAACAACGAUGACGCACGAUUGAAAAAAUAAAAAAGAAGGUACGUGAGUAGAAAUAUGAAAGAAUUAAAGGAUUUUCGAGGUCGACCUCAUUUUCUUUUUCUCUCCGUCUCUCCCUCCCUCUCCCUCUCACUGUACUCGAAGUAAAGUUCUCGUUCAAAAUAUACACACGAAAAGGAAAA